rnacentral:antisense_RNA from 1 species
GUUGCAGUCAACUAGACCCCUCCCUUAUUUCAUACUUCAAGCUAUUAAUCCACUUCUGUAAAUCUUUUUAGUUUUAACUCAAGUAUAGAAGCUUCUAAUUUUUUCUGGGUUAAAUUUUGUCUCGUUAGAUUCACUCCCUCAAUCUUUGAAUCCAGAUUCUAUCAUUCUGUAUAUUAGCUGCAAAUCAUUAAUUUAAAGCAUGCCACUAGUACUAAAUAGGAUGAUAAAGUCAGCAAACUCAGGAAAGAUCUAUAGGUAUCUCAGCAGAGAGUUCUGACUCUAAGUGAAAAAAUUUCUUUUCCUUAUUGCAUGUGAAGCCAGGAGUAUGCCCUGCUGAGCUAGUUCCCUUCCUUUCAUCUCUCAUGUGGCUUCUCAGAUUGCUUGCUUUCUAGUGCUGCUAAUAGAAGACACUAUAG